AACGCACAUUGCGCCCGGUGGUAUUCCGCCGGGCAUGCCUGUUCGAGCGUCAUUAUAACCACUCAAGCCUAGCUUGGUAUUGGGGUUCGCGGUUACGCGGCUCCUAAAAUCAGUGGCGGUGCCGGUGGGCUCUAAGCGUAGUAAAUCUCCUCGCUAUAGGGUCCCUCUGGUUGCUUUGCCAAAACCCCCAAUUUUUAUAGGUUGACCUCGGAUCAGGUAGGGAUACCCGCUGAACUUAA
rnacentral:misc_RNA from 1 species